rnacentral:rRNA from 1 species
GUGGGGAAUUGUUCACAAUGGGCGCAAGCCUGAUGACGCAACGCCGCGUGGGGGAUGAAGGUCUUCGGAUUGUAAACCCCUGUCGAAUGGGACGAAAGACUCGCGCGUUAAUACGGCGCGAGAGUGACGGUACCGUUAAAGGAAGCCACGGCUAACUCUGUGCCAGCAGCCGCGGUAAUACAGAGGUGGCAAGCGUUGUUCGGAAUUACUGGGCGUAAAGGGCGCGUAGGCGGCCCACUAAGUCAGACGUGAAAUCCCCCGGCUUAACCUGGGAACUGCGUCUGAUACUGGAGGGCUUGAGUAUGGGAGAGGGAUGUAGAAUUCCAGGUGUAGCGGUGAAAUGCGUAGAUAUCUGGAGGAAUACCGGUGGCGAAGGCGGCAUCCUGGACCAUUACUGACGCUGAGGCGCGAAAGCUAGGGGAGCAAACGGGAUUAGAAACCCCAGUAGUCC